rnacentral:rRNA from 1 species
UGGGGAAUCUUCCGCAAUGGGCGCAAGCCUGACGGAGCAACGCCGCGUGAGUGAAGAAGGUCUUCGGAUCGUAAAGCUCUGUUGAUGGGGACGAACGUGCCUAAUGCGAAUAGUAUUAGGUAAUGACGGUACCCAUCGAGGAAGCCACGGCUAACUACGUGCCAGCAGCCGCGGUAAUACGUAGGUGGCGAGCGUUGUCCGGAAUCAUUGGGCAUAAAGGGAGCGCAGGCGGGCAUGUAAGUCUUUCUUAAAAGUGCGGGGCUCAACCCCGUGAUGGGAAAGAAACUAUGUGUCUUGAGUACAGGAGAGGAAAGCGGAAUUCCCAGUGUAGCGGUGAAAUGCGUAGAUAUUGGGAGGAACACCAGUGGCGAAGGCGGCUUUCUGGACUGCAACUGACGCUGAGGCUCGAAAGCCAGGGGAGCGAACGGG